AUUCACUUCAGCAGCAUAUAUACUAAAAUUGGAAUGAUAAUAGAAAAGAUGAGCAUGACUUCUGUGCAAGGUUGACACAUAAAUUUGUGAAGCAUUCCAUAUUUUU